rnacentral:misc_RNA from 1 species
GAUGAAGAACGCAGCGAAAUGCGAUAAGUAAUGUGAAUUGCAGAAUUCAGUGAAUCAUCGAAUCUUUGAACGCACAUUGCGCCCCUUGGUAUUCCGAGGGGCAUGCCUGUUCGAGCGUCAUUAUAACCCCUCAAGCUCAGCUUGGUGUUGGGGCCUGCUGCACUGGCAGCCCUUAAAAUCAGUGGCGGCGCCAUCUGGCUCUAAGCGUAGUAAUUCUUCUCGCUAUGGAGUCCUGGUGGAUGCUUGCCAUCAACCCCCAAUUUUUGUAUGGUUGACCUCGGAUCAGGUAGGGAUACCCGCUGAACUUAAGCAUAUCAAUAAGCGGAGGA